UUGUAUUUUUUUACUUUAGUAAUGUGUGGUUUAAAGUGUAUCAAGUUAGUAUCACAUGAUUUCGUUUUUCUCUUUUUGUCAGCGCCUUUGUUAAUAUUUUAUUAAAUUAUAUACAAAAAACUUUAGAUACCUUAUCUAGGUUUAUCGUUAUUCACUUUAGUAUCCUUUACUUUUAACUUUGUCAUUGAUUUAACGAAAAAAAAUUAGUAAAAUGAAUAAAAAAAGAGAAAAAUAAAACUACAUGAUACUAACUUGAUACACUUUAAAUCACAAAAUAUUAAAAUAAAAAAGUGCGAAACUACAUAAGUGGUAUUUAAAGUUUUUCAAAGUAAAUUAAU
rnacentral:lncRNA from 1 species